rnacentral:rRNA from 1 species
CCUACGGGCGGCAGCAGUGAGGAAUAUUGGUCAAUGGGAGAGAUCCUGAACCAGCCAAGCCGCGUGAGGGAAGACGGCCCUAUGGGUUGUAAACCUCUUUUGUCGGAGGACAAAACCCGGGACGUGUCCCGGACUGCGUGUAUCCGAAGAAAAAGCAUCGGCAAACUCCGUGCCAGCAGCCGCGGUAAUACGGCGGAUGCGAGCGUUAUCCGGAUUUAUUGGGUUAACAGGGUGCGUCAGGGGUCCGUUAAGUCAGCGGUAAAAUUGCGGGGCUAAACCCCGUCGAGCCGUGGUAUCUGGCGGACUUGAGGUGGCGAGAAGUAGGAGGAAUGCGGGGUGUAGCGGUGAAAUGGAUAG